AUGUUAAAAACUGAGUAUGACACUGAAAUGAGAAAGAUGUUGAAUGACAAGGUGACAUAUAAAUUACUGAAAAAGGAUCCUACAAAUAAAUGGCAAAAAGUUGCAAACAGUUUAGUGAACAAGUUAGUAGUAGCAAAAAUUGUUGAGGAACAACAAGGUAAACAUCUGAAAGCAAAGUAUACUGUUGCACCCAGGAUUUAUGGUUUGAGGAAAACACAUAAGGAGACUUGUUGUUUGCGUCCAGUGGUCAGUUGUGUUAAUUCCCCGAGUUACAGCCUGGCACGGUUCCUACAUGAAAUACUGACUCCAGUGAUUGAGAAGUUUCAAUAUAAUGUAAAAAAUUCAUUUGACUUCGUGACAUUUAGUAGAAAGGUUAGCUUACCGAAGAAUUAUGUACUGAUUUCAUUGGAUGUAGUGUCAUUGUUCACGAAUGUACGUCGUGACUUGAUUCUUAAAGUAAUUGAGGAAACUUGGGAUAACAUGAAGCAUUUAGUAAAAAUUCCUAAGAGUGUGUUAGUUGACCUCAUUACGUUUUGUUAUGAUUCAAGUUACUUUGUAUAUCAAGGAGAGUUCUAUGCACAAACGGAAGGCAGCAGUAUGGGAAACCCUGCAAGUCCAGUCAUAGCUAACAUCGUUAUGAACUAUGUCAUCGAUCAGAUAUUGAAGAUUCUACCGUUUGAAAUUCACUUCUUAAAGUUAUACGUGGAUGAUACUAUCGCAGCCAUACCGGAGUCGGAAGUAAAUAAUAUCUUAGAGUUAUUUAAUAGCUUUGACAAUAAUAUACAAUUUACCAUGGAAGUAGAAAAGGAUGAUAGUUUAUCUUUUCUAGAUGUGUUAGUCAAAAGAUCAAAUGAUAAAUUGAUAACUGAUUGGUUUGUCAAACCCAUUAGUUCAGGUCGGCUAUUAAAUUGGAAUUCAAAUCAUCCUCGGUCUCAGAAGAUAGGUAUGAUAAAAGGUUUACUUGAUAGAAUGACAAAGUUAAGUAGUAGUGAUUUUUAUGAAAUUAAUUUUGGUAAGAUUCGUAACAUAUUGUUGAAUAAUAAUUAUGAAAUACCAUUAGUAGACAGUGUUAUAAAUAAAUUUAAAGAGAACUUAAAUAAUAAACCAAGGAGUUUGGUCAACUCAAAUAAUAAUAACAUUAGAUAUUGUCGGUUUCCUUAUAUAGCAGAAUUAUCACAUAAAUUAAACAGAGUUUUUAUAGGAACUCAUGUAAGAUUAGCAUUUUAUAACAUCUUGAGAGUUAAUUCAAUCUAUUCUAAGUUAAAAGAUCCAGUAAAUAAACAACAACAAACUGGAAUAGUGUAUAAAAUACCUUGUUCGUGUGACUUAUGCUAUGUUGGACAAACUAGGCAGUAUUUGAGUAAUAGAGUAAAACAACACAUUUAUGAUUGUAAAAAUAUUAAUAUAUUAAAAGAGAAUAAAACAGCAUUAGCAACCCACCACUUUGACCAACAUCAUAAUUUUAAGUUUGAUAAGAUAGAAAUCUUGGAUAAAGAAAUGAAUUGGUGGAAACGUAAUGUUAGUGAAAUGAUCUUUAUAAAAACUAAUGAUACUGUGAACAAACGAACAGACACUAACAAUUUAAGUAUUUUAUAUAAUGAUAUAUUAAAAGAGUAUAAAUCUAAUAGAAAAAAAUAACCUUCAUUUCAGAUAUAUUUGAAUUUGAUACUUAGCGAGGUUUGCGCUAGUAUAAAAUAUUGUAAAGUAUAGUCUAUGUACUGAAGUUUCAAUAGUGGGCUAACCUUUGUCACGCAAUUAGCAAUUUUAUGUGUCGUGUUGGCUUUGUUUCCGGAAUCAAAAAAUAGUAAUUAAAUAAUUUAGUGGCUUUGUAGAUUUGUAUUAGUCUCUGAUGUCUGAGACAAUUGUGCAGUGUAUGAUAGAGAUUAUUUAAAUUCAUAUUAUGAUGCCUGAUGAAGGUCUAAUAAAAGACCGAAACGUUGCUAAAAUAAUAAUGUAAUUUGUUAUAAUAGUCCUAUCUUGUCCACAUUCCUGAGAUACACGAAAAAGAUAUUAUUAUUUGAGUAUAUAAUUACUAGUGUGAGUCCGCAAGAGUAGGUACCAGCAAUCCCCCCCCACCCCUCGAUUUGUAUGGAUUAUCCUGCGUUAAAAAAAAGCAAAAAGGUACCACCACUCUGCCUCUUUCUGUCGUGAAGCAAUAACACGUUUCGGUUGAAGGGUAGGGCAGUUGUUGUACUGUAAAAACUCAUGCCUCAAGGUGGGCGGCGGCAUUUACGUUGAUGAUGUCAACGGGUACCGCUAGUCAUUUAACAGCUGGUUGGUCGUGAACGCGUUCACUCUAAGCAAUAAGAAAUAUACUUAUAAAAUUACACAUGCUCAGCUAAUUAGACCCAUUCGUAAAUAUAUACAUAUAAAAUUACACAUAAUAUUCAGAUAAUUAUAUUAGACCUAUUUAUUCGUUUUAAUUGUUUAUUAGGAAAAGGAAAUGAUUAAACUCACAGCGGAUGUGUUGCUGCCCUGCGAAUUAGAAUUCUUGGUCAUCGCAAAAUGGCAAUUUAUUUGUGGCAACGAAAAACGACAAUGAUUGUGAUGGAACACUUUGCACGGUACAGAUUGAAAACGAGACAAAACUAGCUUGCCGUUUCACAAUUCACUGUCAUUCGCCGCCAUAAUUUGUUGUCUGACUGAAAGGAAUUUACGUAAUUCCCCGAACAAAAUAUACGUUUGCGCGUUCCGUUUAUGUUUUUAAUAUAUCACUAUGCGCAUACCUAAUUUUAUUUCUUGAAAACAAUAAGUUUCGUAUGUGGCAAAUAAAAAUCUAAAACAAAGUGAAAUAGAUAAUUGACAUGUUGAUGAAAUGACAUGUAAAAACGUAUUCUUGUAUUUUGAAAAAUUAUAUUGAAAUAAUUAUUUUCUUCGUAUAAAGAAACUUCCGUUCAAUCGGAUGGGGAUUAUCUGUGAACUAUCUCGAGAAAAACCAGAUUCAAAUGAAUGUUCAAGGCUACUGCGUAAAACUACUAUUUACACUUAUUUUAUAUAUUAUAUCAUAAAUCUGA